rnacentral:rRNA from 1 species
CUACAGAGGGUGCGAGCGUUAAUCGGAUUUACAGGGCGUAGAGCGUGCGUAGGCGGCUUUUUAAGUCGGAUGUGAAAUCCCUGAGCUUAACUUAGGAAUUGCAUUCGAUACUGGGAAGCUAGAGUAUGGGAGAGGAUGGUAGAAUUCCAGGUGUAGCGGUGAAAUGCGUAGAGAUCUGGAGGAAUACCGAUGGCGAAGGCAGCCAUCUGGCCUAAUACUGACGCUGAGGUACGAAAGCAUGGGGAGCAAACAGGAUUAGAAACCCUAGUAGUCC